CCCAGACUCCUACGGGAGGCAGCAGUCGGGAAUAUUGCGCAAUGGAGGAAACUCUGACGCAGUGACGCCGCGUAUAGGAAGAAGGUUUUCGGAUUGUAAACUAUUGUCGUUAGGGAAGAGAAAGGACAGUACCUAAGGAGGAAGCUCCGGCUAACUACGUGCCAGCAGCCGCGGUAAUACGUAGGGAGCGAGCGUUAUCCGGAAUUAUUGGGUGUAAAGGGUGCGUAGGCGGAAUAUCAAGUCAGCGGUAAAAAUUCGGGGCUCAACCCCGUCGUGCCGUUGAAACUGAUGUUCUUGAGUGGGCGAGAAGUAUGCGGAAUGCGUGGUGUAGCGGUGAAAUGCAUAGAUAUCACGCAGAACUCCGAUUGCGAAGGCAGCAUACCGGCGCCCAACUGACGCUGAAGCACGAAAGCGUGGGUAUCGAACAGGAUUAGAUACCCCUGUAC
rnacentral:rRNA from 1 species